AUAUCAAUUGUACACUCAUAUUUGUUGAUAAUUUGGUUACAUUAUGUAGAAUCAUUCACUUGGAAGACCAUCACAUAUGCAUAAGUUUUUUGAGCACACUCACACUCGCAAAGAGGAUAGGACUCAAUGGGUUGAUGAACACUCUCGAAAGACAAAGGAUAUAUUUCAAGAGCGUAUGUUUCAGGCUAAGUAAGAGCGGCAGGCUGCUAUAGAGGCUGGUGUAACUGAUCUACCGCCUGUCUCUGA